AUUGAACGCUGGCGGCAUGCUUUACACAUGCAAGUCGAACGGUAACAGGCCGCAAGGUGCUGACGAGUGGCGAACGGGUGAGUAAUGCAUCGGAGCGUGCCCAGUCGUGGGGGAUAACGCAGCGAAAGCUGCGCUAAUACCGCAUACGAUCUAUGGAUGAAAGCGGGGGACCGAAAGGCCUCGCGCGAUUGGAGCGGCCGAUGUCAGAUUAGGUAGUUGGUGAGGUAAAGGCCCACCAAGCCAACGAUCUGUAGCUGGUCUGAGAGGACGACCAGCCACACUGGGACUGAGACCGGGCCCAGACUCCUACGGGAGGCAGCAGUGGGGAAUUUUGGACAAUGGGCGCAAGCCUGAUCCAGCAAUGCCGCGUGCAGGAAGAAGGCCUUCGGGUUGUAAACUGCUUUUGUACGGAACGAGACGGCUCUCACUAAUACUGGGGGCUAAUGACGGUACCGUAAGAAUAAGCACCGGCUAACUACGUGCCAGCAGCCGCCGUAAAAC
rnacentral:rRNA from 1 species